rnacentral:rRNA from 1 species
AACGAACGCUGGCGGCAUGCCUAACACAUGCAAGUCGAACGAAGUCUUCGGACUUAGUGGCGCACGGGUGCGUAACGCGUGGGAAUCUGCCCUUGGGUACGGAAUAACUCAGAGAAAUUUGUGCUAAUACCGUAUAAUGUCUUCGGACCAAAGAUUUAUCGCCCAAGGAUGAGCCCGCGUAAGAUUAGCUAGUUGGUGGGGUAAAAGCCUACCAAGGCGACGAUCUUUAGCUGGUCUGAGAGGAUGAUCAGCCACACUGGGACUGAGACACGGCCCAGACUCCUACGGGAGGCAGCAGUGAGGAAUAUUGGACAAUGGGCGGAAGCCUGAUCCAGCAAUGCCGCGUGAGUGAUGAAGGCCUUAGGGUUGUAAAGCUCUUUUACCAGGGAUGAUAAUGACAGUACCUGGAGAAUAAGCUCCGGCUAACUCCGUGCCAGCAGCCGCGGUAAUACGGAGGGAGCUAGCGUUGUUCGGAAUUACUGGGCGUAAAGCGCGCGUAGGCGGUUUUUUCAAAGUCAGAGGUGAAAGCCCAGUGCUCAACACUGGAACUGCCUUUGAAACUGGAAAACUUGAAUCUUGGAGAGGUCAGUGGAAUUCCGAGUGUAGAGGUGAAAAUUCGUAGAUAUUCGGAAGAACACCAGUGGCGAAGGCGACUGACUGGACAAGUAUUGACGCUGAGGUGCGAAAGCGUGGGGAGCAAAC